AGUGAACGCUGGCGGUAGGCCUAACACAUGCAAGUCGAACGGCAGCACAGUAAGAGCUUGCUCUUACGGGUGGCGAGUGGCGGACGGGUGAGGAAUACAUCGGAAUCUACUUUUUCGUGGGGGAUAACGGAGGGAAACUUACGCUAAUACCGCAUACGACCUACGGGUGAAAGCAGUGGAUCUUCGGACCUUGCGCGAUUGAAUUAGCCGAUGUCGGAUUAGCUAGUUGGCAGGGUAAAGGCCCACCAAGGCGACGAUCCGUAGCUGGUCUGAGAGGAUGAUCAGCCACACUGGAACUGAGACACGGUCCAGACUCCUACGGGAGGCAGCAGUGGGGAAUAUUGGACAAUGGGCGCAAGCCUGAUCCAGCCAUACCGCGUGGGUGAAGAAGGCCUUCGGGUUGUAAAGCCCUUUUGUUGGGAAAGAAAAGCAGCAGGUUAAUACCCCGCUGUUCUGACGGUACCCAAAGAAUAAGCACCGGCUAACUUCGUG
rnacentral:rRNA from 1 species